UACGUAGGGGGCUAGCGUUAUCCGGAAUUACUGGGGCGUAAAGGGUGCGUAGGUGGUUUCUUAAGUCAGAGGUGAAAGGCUACGGCUCAACCGUAGUAAGCCUUUGAAACUGGGAAACUUGAGUGCAGGAGAGGAGAGUGGAAUUCCUAGUGUAGCGGUGAAAUGCGUAGAUAUUAGGAGGAACACCAGUUGCGAAGGCGGCUCUCUGGACUGUAACUGACACUGAGGCACGAAAGCGUGGGGAGCAAACAGGAUUAGAUACCCAUGUAGUCCCUGAG
rnacentral:rRNA from 1 species